AUGGGCAAUGGCUAUAAUAAAUAAUUUAUAUUUUAUAAUAUUUCAAUAUUCAUAAUAUUUUUAUUAAGUUAUGUGUAAUUAAAAAAACUCUUUUGAAUAACUUAACCAUUACGUAUUUUAUUGUUAGUUAUAAUGGCUUUAGUUGCGUAUGAUAACAGUGACUCAAGUGAUUAUGAUGAACCUGAAUGUACUGGAGAGACUUCAAAAUUACAAGCUAUACUACCUGAUUUGCCAUUGGCCAAUGGAACAGAAGUUAGGAAUGAAAAAAAUCUUUUUAAUCUCCUUCCUAAGCCAACUAAACAAAAAAUAACAUUAAAGGAGGAUGACGAUGAUAUAUUGCUUAAAAAAGAGAUAAUAAGUGAAGUUAAACCUAAAUCAAGAAUUACUGUACCAUCUCUAGGUGAUUUUAAAGAUAUAGAAGAUACAGUUCCAAGUGCAAAAAGAAAAGUCAGCAAAGAGAAAAAAUCAGGACUCUUAAGUAUUCUUCCACAGCCCAAAAACAGCACAAAAGUAUCAACAAAAAUGCUAAUACCACAAUCUGUAUCUAACAAGCCACCUGCAACUGUAAAGAAGAAAGACUGUGCACCAAGUAUUUUUAAAAAAAACAAGGUUGAAACAAAAAGUGCAGUUAAAACUGACUUUUCAGAUGAAAGUGAUACUGAUGAUUUUCAGAAUGAUUUCUUCUCUAUAAAUAAACCUGUAGAAGUGAUCCCAGAAAAUGUACCUUUUGAUAUUGAUGUUAAAGUUGAACAAUCUCAAAAGGAACCUCGGUCUCUUGAAUCAUAUUUCAAAAAAGAUGAUCAUGUUACAUUGGAACCUGAUUAUCAAGGUAUAGAACCUCAAUUAGUACAAGAAGAGUCUGAAUAUACCAGUAAUCAAUCAGAUGUUAUACCAGUUGAUCCUACCAGUAGUGGAGAUGUAUUGGAUGAAGAAGCUAUCUUAAAACUAUGUGGUACAAGAGGCAAGCGCAAAAGGGAAGAAAUUCAGAUUGUUGAUGUAAAUCAACAAGAAGUGCUUAAAGAUGCAAGAGAAAUGUUACUCAAGGGACUUAUGGAUGACACUACUAAGAGGCAGUCCCAUAGCAAGAAAAAGGGCAAUGAACCAACAAGUCAACAGAAAAGAAAACAUCAAAUUACCUACUUAGCACAUAAAGCAAAAGCAAAUGAAGCAGAAUUACAGAAUCAAUGGGCAAACAAUAGAAUGACAAAAAGACAAACUCAAUCUAAAUAUGGCUUUUAAGAAAAUGAUCUAAGUGCGAAAGUCUGAUGCUAGCUGCCAUCAGACCUGCCACCUCCUACUGUAUAAAGUGUAGGGGUACGAUUUGCAUAGCAUAUUUUUGAAUUGAUUUCAUUAUUUUAAAUUCCUUACCAUGUCAUGACACCACCAAUUUUGCAACUUAAUUUUUUUGUUCUAAUAAUUUUAUGGCCCGAGGAUAUUUAUAACAAAUUUCACGUGUCUAUUUUGUAUUCUUUGUAAUUUAAUAAUUCAAAACUUGAAGGUAAAUUUAUUAUGAUAGCUAUAGAAAAUGAAAUUGUUUGAUGAAAAUGCAUAAAAUCUCCAUGAAUCCUAAAAAAACGUGGUUUAAUACAUCUAAAUCCCAGGUCAGAAUAAUAACUUGUGACUAAAUAGUAGAAGUAAAGAAUGACAUUAAGAGGUGACUUGGGCCAGGUGAAGCAAAUACCGAGAAUAUCCCUCAUAAGGUUCUGCCAGCUUCUUUGCAUAUAAAUGAAAUAAAAAAAAUUGUGCAGGCUAGAUAAGAAUGGCAAUGCUCUCACCUUAAAGUUUUCCUGAAGCUACUUCAUGACAAAGAAGGAACUUUUAUAUGAUAUUUAAAUAAUGGAACAGAAAUAUCAGGGUCCCAGUCCCUGAAACAAUGGGGAAUUAUUUUUGGUUCCCAAUAAGGCAAAGUAAUACAGAAUACAAUAAAAACAUUGUUAUUUGCUGCAUUAGUAGUUAACAGAAAAUCUUCAAAAUAGUUAAAAUGUUACUUAUCACAUUACCUUGAAAAUUAAAACUUUCUUUAAACUAUUUGUAUUUAGGCAUAUAUAAGGCAAUUGGAAAUUUUAGGGCAUAGCCAUAUUUUAAUAAUUAAUUUUUUACUGACAUUCAUAAGUGUACAUUGUCUUACGAAUAUGAAUCUUGAAUUUAAUUUUUAGGAAUUAGAAUAUUCAUAGUUAAUUUUUGUGGAAUAAAUACAAUUUUUUUUAUUUAUUUAUUUAUUUCUAACAAAGUUACAAUUAAAACUAAAUAUGUAUAGUAAACAAAGUUAUCUACAAUCUUCUCGCUUUUCGUGGUCUAGGAGGAUUCCAUGAAACAUGAGUUGCAUCUGUCACUGAUACAACUUGUAAACCACCCAUUGUCAAACCUUUUACAGCAGACUGAAAGAAAAUUAUAUUAACAUUCAAGCUGUUACAUAGUUCUACAAAUUUCUUUACAUUUCAAAGCAGAUAUGCCUUAAGAAUGAGACAAUACUUACUAAUCUUCCAGGACCCAAGCCCCUUACUCGUACUUUAAUAGUUUUAUACCCCUUGUCUAUAGCUUUCUACAAAGGAAAUAAGUAGUUGAGAAACAAUUUUGUAUAUCAAUAUGUAAGGUUUUUUUGUUAGUUUUGUAAUUUAUAUAAAGUACUUACUAAUGCAAUACUUAUAGCAGUAGUCUGUGCAGCAAUGUUAGUGCCUUUUUUUGUAUUUUUAAAACCUUCCAUGCCGCAAGACCGUAUUAUUUUUACAGCACCUUCUGCACUUGUUAAAGUAAAGAUGGUAUUAUUAUGUGUUACUCUUAUGUUACAAAUUGGCAGAUCUUUGUAAAGUAUACCAUCAUGUAAUUCUUUAUCAGAUUCAAGUGUAGGGAAAAUAUUUCGUUUUCUAAAAAAUUAUGAUAUAAUUAUUUAUUAAUAAAUAUGUAUAAGUAAUAAACUCGAAACUAUUGCUCUUUUUUA